GAUGAACGCUGGCGGGCGUGCCUAACACAUGCAAGUCGAACGAAGCAAUAAAGACGGAGAUUCGUCAAAGCCUUUAUUGACUUAGUGGCGGACGGGUGAGUAACGCGUGAGCAACCUGCCUUUCAGAGGGGGACAACAGUUGGAAACGGCUGCUAAUACCGCAUAAUAUACAGAGGGGGCAUCCCUUUUGUAUCAAAGGAGAGAUCCGCUGAAAGAUGGGCUCACGUCUGAUUAGCUGGUUGGUGGGGUAAAGGCCUACCAAGGCUGCGAUCAGUAGCCGGACUGAGAGGUUGAACGGCCACAUUGGGACUGAGAUACGGACCAA
rnacentral:rRNA from 1 species